rnacentral:lncRNA from 1 species
AGCUCCUUCCCCUCCCUGAAGUAGGGACUGACUCAGAGUCAAAGGAUGGGUGGCUUUCCACCAGUCCAGAGCAGAGUGCAGGAUAGCCUCACAAGCCCUGGUUUGUACAGGAGGAAUCAGAGAGGUCAAGCUAGUUGCUCAAGGCCCAGGCCACAGCUGGCUCUCAGGCUACUGAGGUCCUGAGUGUUGUAGGUGGGCAGCGGCUCACAGCCCUGUUCUUAGAAUUGGCAGGCAGAUUUGGGUGUCGGCAUCUUUUUGUUAUCUUUUCCUUUUUUUCAUUUGCAGUGCUGGGCAAGGAACCCAGGGCCUCACGCAGGCUAAGCAAGCUACUCCCACUGAGCUGCACCCAGCCCCGGCACCUUUGCAAGUCUCCUGUCUGCCCUCGUCACCCCCUCCUCGCCUCCUCUCUCCCCUCUCCGAGUUUCUUUCCAGUUCUCUGCCCUCCUUCCAUUUCUCUCCUCCUGCCUCUCCUUCCCCUCUUCUCUCGUCUCCAGUCGUGUACAGGGCCACCCUCACAGAGGUGGGCCCUUAGAGGUUCCUGGGGAUGGACAGACGUCGGGCUGUCCCUCUGCCUCAUGGCUGCAGCAGGGAGGGUGGGCAAAGGGCAGAGGGUGGAGGCCACAGUGGCCAAACCCGAAAGUGGCCCAGCUCUAGUUGGAAAAGAAACGAGGAAACAAAAGAACUCGGGGACAGAGGGCGUGUGGUGUCGGAGUGGGCAAAGGCUGCCCAGGAGUCGUAAACCAGGGCCACUCCCGGCUUUAUGAGGCAGGUCUGGGGUUGAUUCUGGACUUCGCCCAGGAAGUGUUGGCACCAGCCUGGGCCCCCGUGAUAAGGAGCCUCAAUAAAAAGGCUGUGAACUUGGGGCCCCGGGUACCCAGAGGGCUGGGUGGGCGGCCAUGGGUUGUAGGUCCUGCCUGAG